UCAUGUAAUUAAAAACCAAAUCCUCAUCAUUGUGUUGGAAGGUACCCUAAGACACAAAUAAUCAUACAAAAACAACUUUUUUAGGUUUUUCAAAACAAUUUUUCAAAUUUUUAUGAGAUUUUCGGAUUUUUAUAUCAAAACAAACUAAAACACUUCAAAACAGCUUAAAAACACUUAAAAGAGCAAGGAACAACAUUAGAAGUAAUGGGUGAUAAACUCCUACGACUUUCAUGCAAAACAAUGGUUACCCCCCACACUUAAAUCAAACAUUGUCCUCAAUGUUUCAAGCAUAAACUCACACAAAAACAAACAAAUAAACAAACAACGAAUAAACAUGACAAGUAUAGCAAAGUAAACAAAAAAAUAGACAGAGUAGAGUUUAAGAACGCAAAUCUGGUUUUGGAGAUAGAUGAUCUUGUUGACUUUCCACAGCUUUGAUCUCGAACUGGUUUGGAAUUCUGAGCGAGGAAUAUCAGAGUUCCUUGGUUUCAAAUCAGACUCCUUCUGCUGGGAUGAUUUGAUUGUGCAGUCUGCAUUUUUCUCUGCUUGUUUCUUCUACACGGCGGGCAGGCACGAGGUAAAGGUGUUGGUCUGUUUCUUUCUUCAAUCUUUCCAAGUGCCCACCUCUUGCUUUCUUUAUCCUUGUCCCUAGCUGAGGAUGAAUUGGCAAAUUGUCUCCACAUGCUUCGAGGUAUCAUUUUCACUUCCCUUAUGAUGCGGUAGACGAAGCGAAAGCAUAAGAUGAUGAAGAUGAGUACUCGAAAGCAAGGCUCGGGAAGCAAUCAUGAAGGGGUUCCAGGCAGUCGGUUCUAGAUCGAAACAACGACAAGGAGAAGAACAGGGAGAAAGCAUGAUAUGAGAUACUCUUGCUUUCAACCUUCAUGAUAUAAAAUACUUUUGCUUUGGAUGAGUUGUUUGCAGAGGUACCCCAAGGAAUAAGGAACACUGAGUGACUCGAGAGGGUUUGUUGGAAAGGUGUUGGUCUGUUUCUUUCUUCAAUCUUUCCAAGUGCCCACCUCUUGCUUUCUUUCUCCUUGUCCCUAGCUGAGGAUGAAUUGGCAAAUUGUCUCCACCUGCUUCGAGGUAUCAUUUUCACUUCCCUUAUGAUGCGGUAGACGAAGCGAAAGCAUAAGAUGAUGAAGAUGAGUACUCGAGAGCAAGGCUCGGGAAGCAAUCAUGAAGGGGUUCCAGGUAGUCGGUUCUAGAUCGGAAGAUUGAUACCAAGUGCUGGCUGAUUACUCACUUUCUCCUUUUCCUAAAACAAUGACAAGGAGAAGGACAGGGAGAAAGCAUGAUAUGAGAUACUCUUGCUUUCAACUUUCAUGAUAUGAAAUACUUUUGCUUUGGAUGGGUUGUUUGCAGAGGUACCCCAAGGAAUAAGGAACACUGAGUGACUCGAGAGGGUUUGUUGGAAAGGCAUUCUCGGAGAUGACAGAAGGUUAUGUAUGUCUGCCUUGCCAUGGAGGGUGAAGGUCGACAUUUAUAGGAAAUAAUAACCGGUACUGUUCUUUCACUCCUGUCGGCAACCGUUGGAUGAUUGAACAGUAAACUUCACGUGUUUUCUACUUCAACAGAAAUCGUCGACAGAUUUCCCGUGAUUUCCUCAAAGCUGACGAGGCUGAGAAAGACAGAUGGUUGGAAUCGGCGCUUCGACAAAUUGCUCGUGAUUUUCUCAAAGCUUUCUCUGCAUGUGACAAGUGCUGACGAGGCUGAGAGAGACAGGCGCAUCUUCGCUAUCUGAGAUCAAUGCUUCGACAAAUUUUCCGUGAUUUUCGCAAAGCUGAGUUUGCGUGUGACGGGUGCUGACGAGGCUGAGAAAGCUGACACUCUUCGAUAUCUGGAAUCGGUGGUUUGUGAGCAAGCCCAACUUUUGAGAAAGCUGGCCCCUCUUCGAUUUUUGAAUUGGCUUCUUCGAUUUCUGAGCUCGCCUCUUCGAUCUCUGAAAUCCCAUCGCGUGUUGAUUUUUAUAGAGGUAUGCAGGACGUUCAAAGCACACUUGAAUUUCUGCCUAUAAA
rnacentral:lncRNA from 1 species